UACGUAGGGUGCUAGCGUUGUUCGGAAUCAUUGGGCGUAAAGCGCGUGUAGGUGGUUUGUUAAGUCGAUUGUGAAAUCCCUGGGCUCAACCGAGGAAGUGCAGUCGAAACUAACUAGCUAGAAGAUGGUAGAGGAAGGUGGAAUUCCAAGUGUAGAGGUGAAAUUCGUAGAUAUUCGGAAGAACACCAGUGGCGAAGGCGACUUACUGGACACAUAUUGACGCUGAGGUGCGAAAGCGUGGGGAGCAAACAGG
rnacentral:rRNA from 1 species